rnacentral:rRNA from 1 species
AAGUUUGAUCGUGGCUCAGAGUGAACGCUGGCGGCAGGCCUAACACAUGCAAGUCGAACGGCAGCGCAGCAGUAGCAAUACUGUGGGCGGCGAGUGGCGGACGGGUGAGGAAUACAUCGGAAUCUACCUUGUCGUGGGGGAUAAACGUAGGGAAACUUACGCUAAUACCGCAUACGACCUACGGGUGAAAGCGGCGGACCGCGAGGCGUCGCGCGAUUGGAUGAGCCGAUGUCCGAUUAGCUAGUUGGCGGGGUAAAGGCCCACCAAGGCGACGAUCGGUAGCUGGUCUGAGAGGAUGAUCAGCCACACUGGAACUGAGACACGGUCCAGACUCCUACGGGAGGCAGCAGUGGGGAAUAUUGGACAAUGGGCGCAAGCCUGAUCCAGCCAUGCCGCGUGUGUG